rnacentral:rRNA from 1 species
UACGUAGGGGGCAAGCGUUGUCCGGAUUCAUUGGGCGUAAAGAGCGUGUAGGCGGCCAGGUAGGUCGGUUGUGAAAACUGGAGGCUCAACCUUCAGAGGUCGACCGAAACCAUCUGGCUAGAGUCCGGGAGAGGAGAGUGGAAUUCCUGGUGUAGCGGUGAAAUGCGUAGAUAUCUGGAGGAACACCGGUGGCGAAGGCGGCAUCCUGGACCAACACUGACACUGAGGAGCGAAAGCCAGGGGAGCAAACGGG